AUUGAAGCCAUGUGAGGGGUGGGUGGGCAGACAGCCAGGGCCCUGACCCCGGACAGCCAGGACUCUGACCCUCAGGAGAAGUGCAGUGGACUUUGGAUGCCAGACUGUCUGCAGGCUCUUUGCAAGGCUGGGCACAUUCUCCUGGGCUGAGUUGUAGCCCCAACUUGUACAAGGGCCAGUGGGGCUUGUGGCUCACUGUGAAUACGCAGCUCGGUGGGGACUUCGGCUGGAGAGGCUGCGACGGAACUCUCGGAGCAUCUCAGCGGGCAGAGGAUGGCCGUGCCCUUCAGGGAGCUCCGUGGUUCUACAGUCCGACCUUCUGUAGGCCGGGGUGGCCGGUCGCUCAAGAGCCUCAGCUGCUGCAGCACCGUCCACCCAACCUAUGCAAUGCAGGGAGUUUAUCAAGGGGUCACACGGUGUGGGAUGUGAUUCAGAUGAUCCACAGCAGCAAACUAUUUGCCUCGUGCCGGCUUUGAGAGGAGCUGUUUGCCAGCUGCAGACCAUUUAAAUCUGAGGACUCUGGGGAGAGAAUAAAAGCCAGAGCCCAGAGAAUGUGGAGUAACUCCGAGAGAGAACGAUGCUCCUCCUGCUCCUCCCACCCCACCCCCGAGGCUACUCUUGCUGUUGAUGCAGUGAGACAAGAAGUUGCAGAUUGGACUGGCUCCAAGGAACCCGAUGACCCUAACCAGCAGAAGCAGCUAAGAGAACUGUGUGCCCUCUCCCACUAACAUUUUCUCUCUCCUACCUGGUGUUGUUGGAAGGGAUUGGGGUGGAGUAGGAUGAAAGAGCUAUAAAAGAAAUGUAAAUAAAAGAGGUUUUUAAAAGUA